rnacentral:rRNA from 1 species
GACGAACGCUGGCGGCGUGCCUAAUACAUGCAAGUUGAGCGCUGAAGGUUGGUACUUGUACCAACUGGAUGAGCAGCGAACGGGUGAGUAACGCGUGGGGAAUCUGCCUUUGAGCGGGGGACAACAUUUGGAAACGAAUGCUAAUGCCGCAUAAAAACUUUAAACACAAGUUUUAAGUUUGAAAGAUGCAAUUGCAUCACUCAAAGAUGAUCCCGCGUUGUAUUAGCUAGUUGGUGAGGUAAAGGCUCACCAAGGCGAUGAUACAUAGCCGACCUGAGAGGGUGAUCGGCCACAUUGGGGCUGAGACACGGCCCAAACUCCUACGGGAGGCAGCAGUAGGGAAUCUUCGGCAAUGGACGAAAGUCUGACCGAGCAACGCCGCGUGAGUGAAGAAGGUUUUCGGAUCGUAAAACUCUGUUGGUAGAGAAGAACGUUGGUGAGAGUGGAAAGCUCGUCAAGUGACGGUAACUACCCAGAAAGGGACGGCUAACUACGUG